CAGUAGAUGUUAUGGACACACCAUUUGACCUGAACCUGCAGCUGCCAGUGAUCAUUGGAUCCAUACCUCUCCAGUCAGUUGUUAACCAAUAUAUGCCACAGAUACAGCCAGGAACCAUAACUAAUCAACCAAUGGGAUUCAGUGCUCCUGUCAACUUUGACCUACCACCGCCAGCAUACCAUGAGUGUGUGUUCGGAAAGGUUGAUACGACAGAUGAUGAUGACAAAAAUGCUGCGGGAAAUAUGAAUUUUGCGCCAUCCUACACGUACUAUGACUGGAUGAGUCCUCCUCCACCUAGUGCUCCCCAAAACUAAUAACAUUUUAGUUGCUAAUAUGCUUUUAACUUCUGAAAGGGUACCAAUUGCCGCCAGUGUUGACCUUUGCAAAGUUGUUGUUUUUAGCUCACCUGAGCCUAAGGCUCAAGGUGAGCUUUUGUGACCGCUCAAUGUCCGUCGUGUGUUCUGUAUAGUUUGGUGUAAAUCUGCACCUUGUGUCAAAAUCUUCAAAACCACUGGGCAGAUUUACACCAAACUUUACAGGAAUGAUCCUUUGGUGGCCCCCUUUCAAAAUUGCCCUAAGAAUUGAAUUCCAUGCAGAACUUUGGUUUCCGUGGCAACCUAAAGGAAAAUCUUCUUGUCAGUAACUUUUAGCCGGAAUUCAAAACUAUUUUAUAGAAAUGAUCUCUAGGUGACCCUCUACCAAAAUUGCCUAAGCCAUUCUUUUCAGAUAAAAACAUGGCCGCCGGGGGGAGGGGGUGUGGUGGGGGGGCUAUCAAAAUUGCCCAAAGAAUUCAAAUCCAUUUAGAACUGUGGUUGCCAUGGCAACCGAAAGGAAAAUCUUUUAAAAUCUUGUCAGAAACUAUUAGCCGGAUUUCAAAAAUAUUUUUGUAGAAAAUUUAAUGAUCUCUAGGUGACCCUCUCCCAAAAUUGCUUAAGCCAUUCUAUUUUGGUAAAAAACAUUGCUGCCAAGGGGCUUGGCUUAUUUUUCCUAUAUGGUUAUAUUGUAAAUUUCAGAAAUCUUCUCUGAAACCUGAAGACCUAGAGCUUAGAUAUUUGGUGUGUGGCAUUGUCUAGUGGACUUUUACUAAGAUUAUUCAAGUUACGAUCCCAGGGCCACUAUUGGCCCCGCCCUGUGGUCUCUUGAAUUUAAAUAGAGUUCUCUAGGAAAAACAUAGAAAAUUGUUCUUCUCUUAAACUGAGUGGCACACAGAUUAGAUAUUUUACUUGUGGCAUUGUGUAGUGGUCCUUUCCUUAGAUUGUUCAAAUCAUGACCCAAGGUUCAUUUAAAGCCCCGCCAUUGGGUCACUUAGUUUUUAUAUGAAUUAUAUAGGAAAAGAUAUUUUAAAAAUUAUCUGAUCAUAUGUUCUAGACUGUUUACUUAUAAUUACCUGAUGACCCAAAGUAAUUAGGGUCACUUGGCUGUGACCUUGACCUACUGACCUACUUUCUUGUUUUUUUAAGAAUCAGCCUUGAAAUUUUGAUGACCUAUACAGCUUUGCACACUGCUCUUAAAACUGACUUUCAGUGACCAUGAAUGUGAGCUACUGACCUACUUUCUUAAUAUUUUAAAAUCAGUUUGACUUUUGAAACAUGUUCACACAACUAGCAAAAGAUUUCAAUGCUAACUUAUAUUUGACUUUCUUACCUGAUUUCUUACACUUGUCUAUGAAGCUCAAAUUACUCAGGUGAGCGAUCCAGGGUCAUCAUAACCCUCUUGUUUAUAGUUAUUUUCUUUUUGGAUAAAAACUAUAAUUUUGUUAUAAGUAAGGCUAAGUGCAAUAAUUAUUGAGCUUUGCUAAUUUACCACAAGAAUGAUGAAAUGUUUCCCAUCAUGUGGGAUGUUUUGUGUUAAAGGUGAGCUAUUAGUGUAGAUGGAUAAUCUGGUAUCCAAUGUCAAAAUUUUAAAUAUUUUCUUCUUCAAAACUACUAUCCAAAAUUAUACCAAAUUUGGUCUGUAGCAUCCUGGUAAGUUUGUUCAAAUGGUUCUGCUUGACCCCUUUUUGAGAACUCCAGAGCUAAAAAUAGGAAGACCUUUAAAAUGACUUAUUCUCAUGAAUCCAUCAAACUUGAUUUGUAAAAGCCUUGGGUUAACAUCUCUCAAGUUUCUUCAGCUGGUUCAGCUUUACCCUUUACAUAGGUCACUCGAGCUUAAAAUUGAAAAAUCUUCAAAAAACUUGCAUUCUUUUUUGGCCCUCUCUCAAGUUUGCUCAAAUGAUAAUGCAUGACUAUUUUAGAGUAACAGAAAAACCUUUUAAAUAACUUGUAAUGCACUGCUUCAUGGAUGUUUACCAAAUUUGGUCAGAAGCAAGGUUAAAAGAUAAAGGUUCUCAUAAGGUGAGCGACUAAUGCAGUCUAUGGCUUUUUGUCAAACUUCUGAUAUUUUUUUGUUAGCCUGCAUUUUCAGAUUUAUAGAAAUGACAUUUUAAAGCAAUAACAAAGGUUUCAAAAAGGUACCUCUUUUAAGCUCACCAGAGCACAACUGCUUGAAGUGAACUUUUGUGAUCACAAACACUUUGUCUGUCAUCAUCAACAAUUUCUUCCUAUGGCAUCUCUUCUCAAACCACCAGUUGGAAGUUGAUGACACUCAGCCUUGCUGUUCCUUGAAUGGUCCUCUUCCAACCGCUUUAGUUGUAUGUAUGGGCAGCCUAGGUCAAAUUUCCAUAUUUGUAUAUUUUGGAUUUUAAAAAUCUUGUCAGAAACUGCUGUUUAUACAGUCUGCUUUGCAAACUGCUGGUUAGAAAUGAUUUCAGGCAUAUGAUCCUCAGGCAACUCUUUCCCAAGAGUAAUCAGAUUAUUUUGAUUUGUCAAAAACAUGACUACCAGAUUGUGUGGUCACUAUUCCCUACAGGUAUAUAGUGGAAACUAUAAACUUCUUCAGAGAAACUGAUUGCUGGAGUUUUAAAUAAUUUCUCAGGUCAGAUGUGUCGUUUUUUUACCCUUUACCAAAAUUGUUCUGAUUCAUUUAAAAAUAUGAUCAGUAGAGCUAAUGAUAGAAAAGUCUUGAAACAAUAUCUCCUAAACUGUGAAAUAAUUUUGCAGAAGGAUUCCUUAGGUGUCCCACUCAAUAUUCUCCAUACUAUGUCAGUUUGUUUAAAAAAAACAUGGCUACCAGGGCUAAAAAUAGAAAAUUCUCCAAACAAUUUCACACAAAUGCCCCAUUGGGUGACCUUCUACCAAGAAUGUUCUUGUUAUUCCAGUUUGUCAGUUUAAGACAUGACGGCCAGUGCUGAAAGUAGGAAAAUCUUCAGACACCAUCUCAGUCUAAACCACAUGUCUGAUUUUGAAAUAAUUUAACAGAAUUAUUCCUUUGGUGAUCCCAGAUUAUUUGACAGUGUUCUCCUGAAAAUCUUCAGGCCUGUUUUCAAAUUAAUUUUAUUAAAAUAUUUCUUGUUAUACCUGUUUAAUCUGUGAAACUCAAGUGAGGGAUAUAUGGCCAUCAUUUUCUGCAUUAUGUGUUCGGUGUAAAGAUAUUGGUAGAGAUUGCUUUAGAAGAAAUUGAGCCUUUGGUGUAAUUUACAUAUGCUAUGUAUCAACUGACAUUAAUAAUUAUGUCUUCCCCAGGAGACAUAUUGUUUUUGCCCUGUCCGUCCGUCCGUACGUCACACUUCAUUUCCGAGCAAUAACUGGAGAACCAUUUGACCUAGAACCUUCAAACUUUAUAGGGUUGUAGGGCUGCUGGAGUAGACGACCCCUAAUGUUUUUGGGGUCACUCUGUCAAAGGUCAAGGUCACAGGGGCCUGAACAUUGAAAACCAUUUCCGAUCAAUAACUAGAGAACCACUUGACCCAGAAUGUUGAAACUUCAUACGAUGAUUGGUCAUGAAGAGUAGAUGACCUCUAUUGAUUUUGGGGUCACUCCGUCAAAGGUCAAGGUCACAGGGGCCUGAACAUUGAAAAACAUUUCUGAUCAAUAACUUGAGAACCACUUGACCCAGAAUGUUGAAACUUCAUAGGAUGAUUGGUCAUGAAGAGUAGAUGACCUCUAUUGAUUUAAGGGUCACUCCGUCAAAGGUCAAGGUCACAGGGGCCUGAACAUGGAAAACCAUUUCCGAUCAAUAACUAGAGAACCACUUGACCCAGAAUGUUGAAACUUCGUAGGAUGAUUGGUCAUAAAGAGUAGAUGACCCCUAUUGAUUUUGGGGUCACUCCAUCAAAGGUCAAGGUCACAGGGGCCUGAACAUGGAAAACCAUUUCCGAUCAAUAACUAGAGAACCACUUGACCCAGGAUGUUGAAACUUCAUAGGAUGAUUGGUCAUGCAGAGUAGAUGACCCCUAACGAUUUUGGAGUCACUCUGUUAAAGGUCAAGGUCACAGGGGCCUGAACAUCGAAAACCAUUUCCGGUCAGUAUCUUGAGAACCACUUGACCCAGAAUGAUGAAACUUCAUAGGAUGAUUGGUCAUGCAGAGUAGAUGACCCCUAACGAUUUUGGGGUCACUCUGUUAAAGGUCAAGGCCACAGGGGCCUGAACAUGGAAAUUCAUUUCCAAUCAAUAACUUGAGAACCUCUCGACCCAGAAUGUUGAAACUUCAUAGGAUGAUUGUUCAUGCAGAGUAAAUGACCCUGAUUGUUUUUGGGGUCACUCCGUUGAAGGUCAAGGUCACAGGGGCCUGAACAUUGAUAACCAGUUUCGAUCAAUAACUUGAGAACCACUUGACCCAGAAUGUUGAAACUUCAUAGGAUGAUUGAACAUGCAGAGUAGAUGACCCCUAUUUAUUUUGGGGUCAGUCAAUUAAAGGUCAAGGCCACAGUGGCCUGUUCAUGUAAAAUCAGGAGCCUGAACAGUAACUUGAGAACCACUAGGCCAAGAGUGUUGAAAUUUAGCGGGAUGACUGGACAUGCCAAGUAGAUGAUCCCUAUUGCAGCCAACCAUCAGUGUCUCUUUAACUUUCGCUCCUGACCCCUAUUGACUUCUUGCCUAUAGGACUUUGCAUUUGGGGAGACAUGCGCUUUUUUACAAAAGCAUUUUCUAGUUAUUAUAUUUACAUGUAUUAUUUAAAUCAUCUUUACUGUUACCAUUUUUAUUAGCUCACCUGUCUCAUAGUGACAAGGUGAGCUUUUGUGAUCACACUUUGUCUGUCGUCCGUCGUCAGUCCGUCCGUCCGUCCGUCAACAAUUUCUUGUCUGCACGAUAGUGGAUUCAUUUAUGAUUUUAUUUUAACCAAACUUGCACACAAGUUGUAUUACCAUAAGAUCUUGGUUCCUUUCUAGAACUGGCCAGAUCCCAUUAUGGGUUCCAGAGUUAUGGCCCCUGAAAGGGCCAAAAUUAGCUAUUUUGACCUUGUCUGCACAAUAGCAGCUUUAUUUAUGAUUUGAUUUUUACCAAACUGGCAUACAACUUGUAUCACUAUAAGAUCUUGGUUCCUUUCUUGAACUGACCAGAUUCCAUUAUUUGAUACAAACUUCCAACGUAUCUUCAACAACAAUAAAUUGUGGAUUCCAUGACAAAUCAGAUCCAAUCGUAGGUUCCAGAGUUAUUUUAUAUCUGAUUACCUCCCCUGAUUGUAAUCAAAAUGGAUUUAUAUCAGUAAGUACUUAUAGGACUUUUAUUUCAGAUUAAAAUGGGUAUAUCUCCAUAACUAAUGAAGAUACUGAUCUGAAAUUUCAUUUAUGUCAACAGAUUUACUUUGCAGAUCUUUCUUUUGUUCACUUACAAUAAUUUUGUUUUUAAUUACUUCCCUUUUAUGUUACUAUAAAUAGCUUAUUUUUAGUAACUGUUUUAUUAUUGGCCGUAGGGGAAAACCGAGCCCACUUGUCUGUGGUAUAACAUGGAUGGUACCUCCAAUUUUUAGGUGUAUUUUGACAUAUCUGUAAUUUUUUUUUUCAUUUUGGUUAAAUUUCUUCCCUUUGUUGUUCCUGUCCUUUGGACUUAGAUAGUUUUUCUGAGGACCUUCUUGUCCUCAAGUGCAAUAACAGGUGAGCGAUAUAGGGCCAUCAUGGCCCUCUUGUAUUAUUAUUUGAUAUUAAGUAAGUGUUGUAUACAGAAAUAAGCUGUGUUGUUUUUACAGCGAUUUUGCUUUAUGUACAACUAUAUUUUACUGUUGUAAUGUUGUGAUGUAUAAAUUGUAGAUCAGUCUGUACAUGUAUGUCCUUCUCAGUUUUAAACCAUAUUUAUGUGCUAAAAGUUUGGAAAAAGAAUUUUUUUUAAGGCCACACCAAAUUAAUUUCUUCUUCAUUGGAUUUUUUCAAAAAAAAAAAAAUAGGAGUGAGCAAGCGAAAUAGAAAUAAAUCUUUUUUUUUUUUAUUUCACCUGUUUUUGGAGCGGGUGAGGAAUGAUUUGAAGAAAAAAACAAUAAAAAGCCUUGUCACAAGAAUCAACAAGCACUGCCAAAACAUAUCAAAAAGGCUUGAAAAUGCAUAAAAGAAACAAAGAUCGUUUAGUAUUGAAGGUUUUAUUUAAGGCGUGUGGCUGCUGUAAAAAGUAUCCUCGUAUUCAGUGUUGUUAUAUUUUCUAGUCCUUUGGGAUCAUGGAGUCCAUUCAGUAGAUGGUAAUAGAGUUCUGCUUAAGCCGGUGCUAGGGGCCAUGAAAGGUGUUCCGCAUUUUAUUACCUCUCAUGAACAAACUCGGUCGAACUGUGGUCUGCUAUUGUUAUUUUUUUGGUUGCAUUCUAUGCUUUCAAGGGAUCGUUUUACAGAUUUUAUUAAUGACAAACUGUUCCCAAAAUACAUGGCAGCCACUCAACACCUGACUCCAGUAUAUCUUUAUGUUUACUGGGACGCACUACAUUGUAAUAUUUAUAAACAUUUGGAGAUGUAAACAAGCUGUUUAAAUUGUUGUCAGUUAGAUGAAAAUAUUCCUGAUCUAUUAUAAAAUAUCUUCUGUUACUUAUCCAUUGUAUACUGUUGUGUGAGAAUCUGAGGUUUUAUAUAAUUUCAUGCUAGAUUUUCAGGUAUGAACAUUGGUUGUUAGAUCUGUUGUGCUUUCAUUUUUACAGAUAUACUUAUUUCUGUUGUUAGUAAUAGUAUAUCAGUAUGUUUGAAUAUCAGCAUAUACUACGAGUCAAUCAGUCAUAGAAGAAGUUCUCUCAUUUCUUCACAUUGUUAAAAAAGUUUAUUAGCAUUUCAAGGCCACACAAUAUAUGAUCAGGUUUUAAUAUAACAGUAUAUAUGAUAAUGGUACAAGUACAUGUGUUGAAUAUAUUGUAGAAAAAUAUAAAAUACUUGUAGGUCAUAACUGUAAGUUUUGAAUUUAAAAUCUUGAUGUUGUUUAUUGUCUGAAUCUCAUUGUGAUACUACAUGAUGUAGCUAUGUAACAUUAUAGUUUUUAUACUAUUUCUGCCUUUCAUUGUAUUUUAUAUCAAAAUAAAUGGCUGUUUAAAAGCUAUAA